rnacentral:rRNA from 1 species
UACAGAGGGUGCGAGCGUUGUCCGGAAUCACUGGGCGUAAAGCGCACGCAGGCGGAUGCGCGCGUGGGGUGUGAAAUCUGGCCGCUUAACGGCCAGGCGCCAUCCCAUACGGCGCGUCUGGAGUGAUGCAGAGGUCGAUGGAAUUGCCGGUGUAGUGGUGAAAUGCGUAGAGAUCGGCAGGAACACCCAGGGGGAAACCAGUCGACUGGGCAUCUACUGACGCUGAGGUGCGAGAGCGUGGGGAGCGAACAGG